rnacentral:rRNA from 1 species
UAAACCUGCCUUGGAGGUGGGGAAUAACACAGUGAAAAUUAGUGCUAAUACCGCAUAAUGCAUUUGGAUCGCAUGGUUCUGAAUGCCAAAAGAAUUUAUCGCUCUGAGAUGGACUCGCGUCUGAUUAGCUAGUUGGCGGGGCAGCGGCCCACCAAGGCGACGAUCAGUAGCCGGACUGAGAGGUUGGCCGGCCACAUUGGGACUGAGACACGGCCCAG